AGGGUGCAGGGCGGAUGCCUUGGCACUAGGAGCCGAUGAAGGACGUGAUAAGCUGCGAUAAGCUUCGGGGAGUUGCACGUAAACUUUGAUCCGAAGAUUUCCGAAUGAGGAAACUCACUUAGAGUAAUGUCUAAGUAUCAUUAAGUGAAUACAUAGCUUAAUGAGGGGAACUCAGGGAACUGAAACAUCUAAGUACCUGAAGGAAGAGAAAGAAAUUCGAUUCCGUAAGUAGCGGCGAGCGAACGCGGAUUAGCCCAAACCAAUAAAGUUUUCUUUAUUGGGGUUGCGGACAUAUCAUAACGAAGAGGUAUCGUAAUUGAAGAGGUUUGGAAAGACCCACCACAGAAGGUAAUAGUCCUGUAUGUUAAACGAGAAGACUUCAGAUAUGAUCCAGAGUACCACGGGACACGUGAAACCCUGUGGGAAGCAGGAGGGACCACCCUCCAAGGCUAAAUACUACCUAGUGACCGAUAGCGUAUAGUACCGUGAGGGAAAGGUGAAAAGAACCCCGGGAGGGGAGUGAAAUAGAACCUGAAACCCUGCACUUACAAGCUGUGGAAGCACAUUUCUUGUGUGACCGCGUACUUUUUGUAGAACGGGCCAACGAGUUACGUUAAGUAGCAAGGUUAAGCACUUAAGGUGCGGAGCCGUAGCGAAAGCGAGUUUUAACUGAGCGUUCAGUUACUUGACGUAGACCCGAAACCGGGCGACCUACCCAUGAGCAGGAUGAAGCGAAAGUAAAAUUUCGUGGAGGUCCGAACCCACGAGCGUUGAAAAGCUCGGGGAUGACUUGUGGGUAGCGGUGAAAUUCCAAUCGAGCCCGGAGAUAGCUGGUUCUCCCCGAAAUAGCUUUAGGGCUAGCCUCAAGGUGAGAGAUACGGAGGUAGAGCACUGAAUGUCCUAGGGGGUAUUGCACCUACCGAAGACUAUCAAACUCCGAAUGCCGUCAUCUUAUACUUGGGAGUCAGACUGUGGGUGAUAAGAUUCAUAGUCGAAAGGGCAACAGCCCAGAUCGUCAGCUAAGGUCCCUAAAUGUAAGUUAAGUGGUAAAGGAUGUGGGAUUGCACAGACAACCAGGAUGUUGGCUUAGAAGCAGCCACUCAUUCAAAGAGUGCGUAAUAGCUCACUGGUCGAGUGAUCCUGCGCCGAAGAUUUCCGGGGCUAAAACUUACUACCGAAGCUACGGCAUCAGUAAUGAUGGGUAGGGGAGCUUCCCAUACGGGUUGAAGCAUGACCGUAAGGACAUGUGGACAGUAUGGGAGUGAGAAUGUUGGCAUGAGUAGCGAGAUGUGGGUGAGAAUCCCACAGGCCGUAAACCCAAGGUUUCCAGGGGAAGGUUCGUCCGCCCUGGGUUAGUCGGGACCUAAGCUGAGGCCGAAAGGCGUAGGUGAUGGACAACAGGUUGAUAUUCCUGUACUACCGAUAACCGUUUGAGAGAAGGGAUGACACAGUAGGAUAAGCUAAGCACACUGUUGGUUAUGUGUGCCCAAGCAUUGAGGCAGUCAAAGUAGGCAAAUCCGCUUUGAUAAUGCUGGGAUGUGAUGGGGAGCGAAAUUUAGUAGCGAAGUAGCUGAUUUCACACUGUCAAGAAAAGUCUCUAUCGAGGUUAAAGGUACCCGUACCGCAAACCGACACAGGUGGGUGAGGAGAGUAUCCUAAGGCCAGCGAGAGAACUGUUGUUAAGGAACUCGGCAAAAUGACCCCGUAACUUAGGGAUAAGGGGUGCCACCAUCAGGUGGCCGCAGAGAAUAGGCCCAAGCGACUGUUUACCAAAAACAUAGGUUUCUGCUAAGUCGCAAGACGAUGUAUAGGAGCUGACGCCUGCCCGGUGCUGGAAGGUUAAGGGGAUCUGUUAGAGCAAUCGAAGCAGUGAACUUAAGCCCCAGUAAACGGCGGCCGUAACUAUAACGGUCCUAAGGUAGCGAAAUUCCUUGUCGGGUAAGUUCCGACCCGCACGAAAGGCGUAACGAUUUGGGCACUGUCUCAACAACAGACUCGGUGAAAUUGUAAUUCCGGUGAAGAUGCCGGAUACCUGCGACAGGACGGAAAGACCCCAUGGAGCUUUACUGUAGCUUGACAUUGGGUCUUGGUACUACAUGUACAGGAUAGGUGGGAGGCUUUGAAACCAGGACGCCAGUUUUGGCGGAGCCAUCCUUGGGAUACCACCCUUGUAGUACUGGGACUCUAACCAUAGGCCAUGAAUCUGGUCUUGGGACACUGUCAGGUGGGCAGUUUGACUGGGGCGGUCGCCUCCCAAAAGGUAACGGAGGCGCUCAAAGGUUCUCUCAGUACGGUCGGAAAUCGUACGUAGAGUGUAAAGGCAAAAGAGAGCUUGAUUGCAAGACAUACAGGUCGAGCAAGGAUGAAAAUCGGACUUAGUGAUCCGGUGGUUCUGCGUGGAAGGGCCAUCGCUCAACGGAUAAAAGCUACCCUGGGGAUAACAGGCUUAUCUCCCCCAAGAGUCCACAUCGACGGGGAGGUUUGGCACCUCGAUGUCGGCUCAUCACAUCCUGGGGCUGUAGUAGGUCCCAAGGGUUGGGCUGUUCGCCCAUUAAAGUGGUACGCGAGCUGGGUUCAGAACGUCGUGAGACAGUUCGGUCCCUAUCCGUCGCAGGCGUAGGAAAUUUGAGAAGACCUGUCCUUAGUACGAGAGGACCGGGAUGGACGUACCUCUGGUGUACCAGUUGUCCUGCCAAGGGCAUGGCUGGGUAGCUAUGUACGGAAUGGAUAAGCGCUGAAAGCAUCUAAGCGCGAAGCCAACUUCAAGAUAAGAUUUCCCACCGCAAGGGUAAGACCCCAGAAAGACUAUCUGGUUGAUAGGUCGAAGGUGUAAGUGCAGCAAUGUAUUUAGCUUAUCGAUACUAAUAGGUCGAGGACUUGACC
rnacentral:rRNA from 1 species